AAGGGACAAUUCCCAAGCUGGUCUUCAGCUCAACUCACCAACUCGGAAGCCCCAGCUUACUCCUCUGUGGCUUCUUUAACUAGGAAUCCGAUGAAGAGCUCAGGAGCGCUCGACAACGGAUUUUCAGGAACAGUUUCAGAUGAUGGUUUGGGGAUUCAGAACGCCUCUAAGGAGCCGGGGAAUGUAUUAAAAAGGGUUUCCCAAGCAGAGCUGUGCAGGAGCCUCGGGAGGAAGCAGAUGAGGGAAGACUAUAGGCGUCUUCUAGAACAAACCAGAAAAGAGAGUUGAGAGGGUUCCUAGAGGCUUAGCAUCGAUGGUUUAGAGAAACCUAUGCAUAAUUAACCUUAGAAGUACCUGGCAGGUCUAGUAUGAGUUUCUUCAGGCAAGGGGCCCGAAGAAAAGGAGACUUGAAGAGUUCAGAGUUUUCCUCAGCUUUAAAAUUGAACUCUAGCUUCCUUUACCACGUGGAGAGGGACCCGAGGUAACGUGUAAAACCGAUUAGGAGUCAAGCAUUCAAUUCAAGUGGGGGGAUGCUAAAUCUCGGAACCACAGGAAAGUCAGAGGAACAAAAUAAUUCAUGUUCCCUUUGUUUCCCCACAAACACCCUAAGCUGCGGACUGGAACCGGUGUUCCUCAUACCAUAAUUCCCACAUUUGCAACCCCUUGGUUUCAUAAGCAGCUCACUUACAUAAUUGGGAGAAGUUUCACAGAUUUUCUUUCACAUGCAGAACUAGGUUUGUUUGAGACAAGCUCUCACUAGGUAGCUCCCUCUGGCUUUGAAUUUGCUAUGUAGACCAGGCUGGCCUUGAAGUCCUAGAGAUUGACUUGCCUCUGCCUCUGAAUGCUGGGAUUAAAGAAGAGCAUUGCUGUACACAGUCAGAUUCUUACAAAAGCAAAUGCCCGCAGAGCAGAAGGUAGACUGACUGGGAGACGGGAGCAGUGAAGGAGGAAGGAGAGGCGCUACCAAGGGGAGGAGAUGGGUGAGCACGAGCCAAGCACAGUGCCACAGAAUUAUGAAACUGUCACAAUGGGACAUUAUUUGGUUAAAAAAAAAUUACCCUUCAAAACAAUGAGAUUGACCGUAAAUGACUGUUCAACAUUUCUAGAAAGUGUACUCCUUUCUCUCAUAUUCCUAACCCCACACAAGGCGCAAAACCAACUGAUAUAAUGGACAAGAAUGCCCUCUGCAGGGUGAUGAAUGCAUCAUCCCGAUUUUGAGACAGAACACGAGACAGGCUUCGAGAAGUUAAGCAGCCAGGUGGCAGAGCCGGAGUGAAUCCUUGUUCAUCCCCAGCCCCUCCCUUGCGCCUCUACAAAACAAUUGCCUCUGGGGAUCAGGUGACUUGGCAGCAUCCUGGGGACCGCCAACGCUAAAGGUGACUCCAGGGCUGGAGUCCAGAGCUCAGGAAGAAAAUGAUCUCUGAGAAAUGUGGGUCUGUGAGAGGUGGAGGAAGACCUGAGCUUGGUACCAAUAACAGACGGACUCCAAACGUUCAGCCUCUCAGUGUAGGGGACUCUCCUUCCUGUGGACCAAUCCUGCAGCCCAGCCACGUGUAGGAACAUAUCACCAGACUUUUCCCAGCCCAGAGCUGCCCUACGGCCAUUUAUUGUGAUAAAGUAGAUAGCUGUCCUGUGCCAGGCCCUCUGGGUGAGGCUCUCGUCAAUGCGGCUGAAGACGAAGAAAAGCCCGUCAGGAAAGAAACUGCCUCCGAGCGUACCUUGGUGACAUUGUCUGAGAGCGUGAGGAGAUUUGAAAACCACCUUAGUCCUCUCGCUGUGCACGCGGUGGUAAAAUGAUUUCCUUUGCUUUUCUGCUAGCCAGUGGGAAAAGCUCAUUAGGAAUCAGGAGAACAGCAUGUUCCAUUAUCAACACACUAAGCCUCAGGAUUAACGAAUAUUCUAGCAAAAGCAAUCACAUUUAUUAAUGUUCCCACAGAGCUGUGGUCUAAAACAAUAAA
rnacentral:lncRNA from 1 species